UACGAAGGGGGCUAGCGUUGCUCGGAAUCACUGGGCGUAAAGGGUGCGUAGGCGGCCUAAUAAGUCAGUGGUGAAAUCUCCUCGCUUAACGAGGAAACUGCCAUUGAUACUGUUGGGCUUGAGUACAGAUGCUGUGGGCGGAAUAUGACAUGUAGUGGUGAAAUACAUAGAGAUGUCAUAGAACACCGAUUGCGAAGGCAGCUCACAAAACUGUAACUGACGCUGAGGCACGAAAGUGCGGGGAUCAAACAGG
rnacentral:rRNA from 1 species